rnacentral:misc_RNA from 1 species
AGAUGGAUCAUUCGCAAACAACUGUUGUAGAAAAAGUUAUUGUGCGAUAAUUUUUGUGAUAAUAGAGAAAAGAGGCUUCCUCAGUAUAAACGAUUAAAAGAAGUUUGUAUAUAAAACUUUCUGUGAUGGAUGUCUCGGGUCUUGUAACGAUGAAAAAUGCAGCUAACUGUGAUAUGCAGUGUAACUUGCAAACUUCUAAGAAUCAUUAGAUCUUUGAACGCGAAAAGUCUUUUUAAGUUCAACUUAAAAGGAUGUUCAUUUCAGUGUUUCGACUAUUUAUUGUCUACACAGUGACAAUGUGAAAAGUAACUGCUUCGCGGUGCCUUAUUCUGACAAUUUAGUUGUUUUUUUUCAAAUCAUACAUAAUGAUAAACAGCUGGAGUUCUUGUAGAAGAAACCUGAAUUUGAGCAAGAGUACCUGCUGAACUUAAGCAUAUUAUUAAGCAGAGGAAAGGAAACUUACAAGGAUUUCCUUAGUAACGGCGAGUGAAUAGGAAAGAGCUCAAACUGAAAACUGACAGGUAACUGUCGAAUUGUAGUCUCAUGAUUUGCAACUUGUAGUUGUUUUGGGUUAAGUCUCUUGGAAAAGAGUACCAAAGAGGGUGAAAGUCCUGUCUUUGCUCAGUAACAUUUACUUCUGGCGCAAUUUAAAAGAGUCGCGUUCCUUGAGAUUGGAAUGCUAAGUGGGUGAUAAAUUUCAUCUAAAGUUAAAAAUAAACGAGGUUCCGAUAGCAUACAAGUACCGUGAGGGAAAGAUGAAAAGGACUUUGACAAGAGAGUUAAAAGGAACUGAAAUCACUGAAAAAAAAGUAGAAAAGAUUAACUUUUGAAUGCAACUUUGAUGUUUUGCGUAUGUGUUUCUUACGUAAAAACAUUAGAAGGUGUAUUAUAAAACUGAGAACGGUUGUAUUUUAACAAUUAAACUAGUGAUGUGAUUCAAAGUCGCUUCACUGAUGAUUUGUUUAGUGUAACUGUGACAUUAAUAUAAUUUUUCUUUAAUUAUAUUAUGUUUUUCCAGUAUGUUUUUCUUUACUGACCCGUCUUGAAACACGGACCAAGGAGUCUAACAUAUAUGCAAGUACAAGAGUGUAAAACUCACGUGCAAAAUGAAAGUGGCUUUUCAGGAUGAGCUAUUUGUACUGAAACCCGGUUAGUAAAUUGAGGUUGAGCAUAUAAUUUAGGACCCGAAAGAUGGUGAACUAUGCUUGAGUAAGGCGAAGCUAGAGGAAACUCUGGUGGAGGCUUGAAUCGAUACUGACGUGCAAAUCGUUUGUCAAAUUUGAGUAUAGGGGCGAAAGACUAAUCGAACCAUCUAGUAGCUGGUUCUCUC